rnacentral:rRNA from 1 species
CGCGUGGGAACGUGCCCUUCUCUAAGGAAUAGCCUCGGGAAACUGAGAGUAAUACCUUAUACGCCCUUCGGGGGAAAGAUUUAUCGGAGAAGGAUCGGCCCGCGUUAGAUUAGAUAGUUGGUGGGGUAAUGGCCUACCAAGUCUACGAUCUAUAGCUGGUUUUAGAGGAUGAUCAGCAACACUGGGACUGAGACACGGCCCAGACUCCUACGGGAGGCAGCAGUGGGGAAUAUUGCACAAUGGGCGAAAGCCUGAUGCAGCCAUGCCGCGUGUGUGAAGAAGGCCUUCGGUUGUAAAGCA